rnacentral:sRNA from 1 species
UCCGGGCACAGAGGCGCACACCUGUAAUCCCAGCUGCUCAGGAGGUUGAGGCAGGGGAAUCACGAGUUCAAAGCCCACCUCAGCAAAAAGCAACGACUUAAGCAAUUCAGUGAGACCCUGUCUCUA